UACGGAGGGUGCAAGCGUUAUCCGGAUUCACUGGGUUUAAAGGGUGCGUAGGCGGACAGGUAAGUCAGUGGUGAAAUCUCCGAGCUUAACUCGGAAACUGCCGUUGAUACUAUUUGUCUUGAAUAUCAUGGAGGUAAGCAGAAUAUGUCAUGUAGCGGUGAAAUGCUUAGAUAUGACAUAGAAUACCGAUAGCGAAGGCAGCUUACUACAUGUUAAUUGACGCUGAGGCACGAAAGCGUGGGGAGCAAACAGG
rnacentral:rRNA from 1 species